rnacentral:pre_miRNA from 1 species
GCUCAGGGUGACCCCCAAGUGAGAAGCACUUUCUGUUUGUUCAAGGGGGGAAGUGCUUCUCUUUUGGGUGUCACCCUGGGA